rnacentral:lncRNA from 1 species
CCUUCCCACAGAACUAGUUGGAUUGCACCAUGUUGAUAAGUCUAGGCUUGAGCUCAAAGUUGCCAUCGAUCUCUGCUGCAGGUCCAGUGCGGAUGUUGUCCGUUGUGGGAGCUGAGAACUCGCGGAUUGAUUUGUUCGCCAUGGCCUUGAACUCUGAAGACAAGUUCCGGUGAUCUUCUUGAUUGGAUGAAGCUUCUUGCUGAAGUGUUGAUGAUUUCUUCUUUAGCUUGGCUCUCGUCUUCUUGAAUAAUGCUUCGGGAUUGUCAACAAAAUUUCCUGGAAGAUGUCUUCUAUUCAUACAUUCCCCUGCAUAAGAUAAAAUAGAAAAAUAUCGGGGUAAAACUGUAUGAGAGGAUAGAUAAGCUCAAUCAUAUUAGUGAUGCGAAUGAUAACUCAAAAUCCUUUAUUCCAUUCCUGAUUAGUAUCAACCUUCCCCGGCAACGGCGCCAAAAAUGCUUGUUGGGUAUUCUUAACAUCAUUACCAAAAGUAGACU